ensembl:lncRNA
CAACUCCCUCCUAUCUGGGCAUGAAGCAGAGCAAAGCCCUGCGGGAGGAGAGGAGCUGCAGCUGCUCAGGGGCCCACUCCCAAAGGAGCACAGCACGGAUGGGGACGUGUCUCCUUUUGCUCCAUCCACCCAUUCCCAGUGCAGCCAUACAGGAAGAAGAGCAGUCACCCCACAGAGCUGACCCGGACAGGCAAAGCACUGAGCCCUUGGGCACGGCACACAUCCUCAGCCUGACUCAUUGCCAGGUUUAUUGCCUUUGCAGGAAGGCUGCUAUCUGAGCCAUAAAAUGAUUUGCAGAAUCUUCAAAAGCUUAUAAAGGCAGUGAUUGAUACGCUCAUCUGCUGGCCACUUCCUGUCUUUAAAAGUCUGGCUUGUAAUCAGAGCAUCUCAAAAUAAAAAGAAAGAAAAAGCCAUGUAAACACUCUGCUCGAUGUUUUCACAGCUUUCUGCUGGCACCGGCGGGCUCUGCUCCUUCCUGCAGCCAUGGGCCUGUCUGGUUAACUCGUGAGCAUCCAGAGGGACAGCUGUUCCCCAGGCCCAGCCGUGCACCAUGGGCUGUUUCUAUUUGCUGCUACUCCUGUGCCACCCAUACGCAGCCCUCCGACUCCUGCUUCUCCUUUUCCUCCCCCUCUCCUCCUCUAUUUGUGGGUAAUAUCCCAUAGUCCCAUCCCUGUGCUUGCUGGGCACCCCAUGCUCCGCGUCACCCACACGUUGGUGGAAGGCACGCCAUGCAAACGCCAUGGGGACGGCACAGGGGGUGCUCUGCAGAAAGAUGUUAGGCCCUAAAUACAGCAGGGGCUUCACAGCAGCAAACCCCACAGCACUACGAUGGGCUGCCCCACGGCGAUGCUCCCAG